CCCCUUUCAGGGUCGGUCGCACCUGGAGAGUUUCUGGUCCUCUACCAGUCUCGGCUGCAGGAGGGAAAGUCAAGCAGAAGCCUACCCAUUCCAUUCCUAGCUUUGCCAGUGGCUAGGGAGUGGAAGGCAAUCUGCUACAAGU